CUGAUAAUUUUCCUAUACAAUAUCUGAUGUAGACAUCGAAUUUUGCUUGACGAUACCCAUGACAAAGACAAGAGCCUUCUUUCAUAAACUUCUUAAUUAUUUGAUUUGAGAGUUCAAAGUCUGCUCUAGCAUUGCUUAAUCAACGAGUAGCAACAUCUAUAGAAUUUGAGAUUCACAAUUCAGUACUCAAAAUAUGCUCCAAAAGAGAAGGUAAAAACCAAACAGCAAUAAUAAAGAAGGAACCUACAAAACCCCGGAUUCCCAUGUUGUCUCCAACCAUAGUACUAACGAGGCCCUCAGACGCUUAACUGCAGUGAUCGGACGGGAACUGGUGUUUUCGCCUAGGUAUGGCCGUAGACAUCUAGUGAAGAAUUUUUGAAUAUUUAUACUACAAAAAAAAAGACCAAUAUAAUUCUAAGUACUUUUAGGAUCGCUGAGAAUCCAUCGCUUAUUCCAUAAAUACAAUAAUGUAAGCAAGCAAUGUGUUUUAAUCCAAUGACAUUUACUAUCACAGAUCAUCUUGAAAGCUGAAUGAUUGUCUACCUUUUUAAGUUUGACAUUUUCAAUUCAUUACAAAUUACAAUAAAAUCAAAACGCUUGUAUUGUGUGUGCAUGCACCUUGUUACAAGUGAGCGAGCUAAAUUAGCUACAGUGAAGAUGAGUACUCGUUCUUAUACGAUUAAAACACUAUGUCUUGAACCAAAUCCAUUAACAUAUAAUUAACUCAAUUUAAACGAAAGUGGCCAACUAGUUGAAAGUCAGCAAAUAAUAACUAUCGUGAAAAGCAUCAAAUAACACUAAGCCUAUCGGUAAAAGAAACAUUAACAUGUCGGUAUGCAAAAAAAUUUUUGGCUUAGUGUAUUUUCCGCUUCGAGAUGCAGUCAUAAACACAAAGGUUGAAUUUGUGCCUACCCAGUCCAAAAAAAAAUACAUAUCCGUUGAACCAGGACUUAACAUAUAAAACCAUAUAUCUUUCACAAUUGAAGAACAAAGAAGCAAACAUAGAAUAAAUAAAGACAACUCUAAAAUC